GACGAACGCUGGCGGCGUGCCUAAUACAUGCAAGUAGAACGCACAGUUUAUACCGUAGCUUGCUACACCAUAGACUGUGAGUUGCGAACGGGUGAGUAACGCGUAGGUAACCUGCCUGGUAGCGGGGGAUAACUAUUGGAAACGAUAGCUAAUACCGCAUCAUAUUAAUUAUUGCAUGAUAAUUAAUUGAAAGGUGCAAUUGCACCACUACCAGCUGGACCUGCGUUGUAUUAGCUAGUAGGUGAGGUAACGGCCCACCUAGGCGACGAUACAUAGCCGACCUGGGAAGGUGAUCGGCCACCCUGGGAAUGAGACACGGCCCAGACCCCUACGGGAGGCAGCAGGAGGGAAACUUCGGAAAUGGACGAAAGUCUGACCGAGCAACGCCGCGGGAGUGAAGAAGGGUUUCGGAUCGUAAAGCUCUGUUGUAAGAGAAGAACGGGUGUGAGAGUGGAAAGUUCACACUGUGACGGUAUCUUACGAGAAAGGGACGGCUAACUACGUG
rnacentral:rRNA from 1 species